AUGGCGACGGCGACGGCGAUGAGCACGUCGACGUCGACGUCGUUCACUACGACGUCGUGUACAUUAUUGGCUACCCGCCGGCGAACGUUAUUGAUGCCACGUGUAACGCGCGUAUCUGUCCAGUUCCACGCGUUGAGAUUAUCAUGUAAACGAUAGCCGACGAAGUACCUUCUGUACGUCCGGUGUAGCGGACGCUUGUGUGCGACGCGCAGGAGGAUGCAUCGUUGCAUCGACGAAAGGGAGACGCUGGCGGGGCGGGCAGCGGACAAGGGUCAGCUGAUAGCCGACAAUUAUCUUUCAGUGUAGCUCGAACAAUCGAGCGGGACUGGUCGUCGCGUUGUCGUAAAACGUCGCGACUACUUUGUAAGCGGGCACGCGCGCGCGCACGGAAUUUUAUCGCGGAUUUUAUUCGCGAGAUAUCGUCUUCGAUAAUGACGUCGACGAUAACGUCAUUGUGGAGGCGGCAGCGCCGGCGGCGGUCUACCUUCGAUAAACAGAUCUCGACUCGAAAAUCUCAACUGAAAAUCAAUGGCUGUGCAACCGAGCCGUGCGACUGAGCGUUGAGCGCGCGAAAUUUCGCCCGUUUAAUCCCACACGUUCGUCAAAGGCAGAAAGGCCGAAAACGUCGCGCGCGGUCUUCUGUUUUUACCCUCUUUUCACCCUUUCGGUAUCGAAAACACACAUAUACGUCGUGUGCGCCUCUAUAAGUUGUGCGAUAUACAUAUAUAUACACACACACACACACACACAUAUAUACAAUAUGUAUAUGUAUAUAUUUCGUCAUUACGAAACGCAGAAUUGAAAUGCUUCGGCGACGGCUGAUAAACUACGAUCUGAUGACCCGAAUGUUUAUUUAUUCAACGGCGAUUCGAUUUGCGAUUGCAGACAUCAGUAAUCGGCAUUUUCAAUAACCGUUUUGCCCGUCUACGGAGGCGACUGCGGGGAAUGGAUAUCACAGAAACUUCUCGCGCAAUCCCAGCGAGUACGGCGGCUACGCGGGCGUCGUAUCGAGGGAACAACUCGCCGCGGGACGGCAACAUCGAGCUCCAAGGAAAUCCUGGACUUUCCUUAAAGCGUUCGAGGAGCUCAGCACUCCGAAUCAAGAGUGGGAACGAAAAGGCAACGGAGUGCAGAGAAGGAGGAGAACGCGACGAGUGCGAGAAGGAGAGGAGAAGCAUAGCUACAGGCGUCAGGAUGAAGGUACACGUAUUCUUUUUAAGGCGGAACACUUUACUGCCGCUCGUUUCACGGCGGUAAUGGAGGAAGCCCAGCCACCCCCGAAGAAUUAAUUCGGGGCUAAAGCCGAGAGGCGAAAGAAAGAGAAAGAGAGAGAGAGA